rnacentral:lncRNA from 1 species
ACAACUCUGUAAUUCUCGCACUGCCACUCAUGAACACCCUUGAGAGCCGGCACUUCAUGUUGAUUGAUGAAGUUAUCACACACGCGUGUGUACACUCACGAACCAGAACAAGGGAAAAACUCAAACCGGCCCCUGGGUCGUCCUCCUGAGGGACUCAGGAGGCGACUAGGGUUCCCCUCGCGCCGCCACCCCCUUUCCCUGCUCUUCCUCGCCGCCACCUGAGGAUCUCGUCGGGUUUUAUUCCACGGACUCCGGGGAAGGUAGCCGCGAGGCCUCGACCGCUCCGUUCCUGGCGGAGUGUUUCAUAUCUGGGGCGACGGCCCCCAUUGGCGAGGCAACAACGUCUUCUCGAUUGGAGCCGGUUGCGGGCGAUUCUGGUCGGCUCGCUCAACCACGCGGUUGGUGAGCCGUCGACGGGGGCUGGUUGCGGCGUGGAGUCUACUCUCCUCGUCGGAUCUGAGGUAUGGCUCCCUCCUCUUUGUCCCCCUCUGCACCGCCGAUUCCAGCUGCUAGUGUCUCGCAGACGGCGGAUCUGGAGCUGGUGCAUGCUCGGUGCUGAGGCUGGGGACCACGGGAAAUCGUUGGUCGUCUUGACCGGCCCGGCAGCAGCGACGCCCUUGGCGCUGUUCUUCCUUCGUGGAGGUGCAGCCGAGGUUCUCCACUCUCCCCACUCGUUCCCGCUCCUCGGUGAAAGCCCAAAAUUCGGCUAGGAUUGGGCGGCAAUGGUGCGCUUCGUGUCGUGCUCCUCCUUGGAGGUGCCGCUUGGGGAGGGUUCGUGUUCGGGCGUGGGGUGUCCAAGGUCCGAGCUUUCGGUGGCUCAGGGUGUGUGGAGGCCGCGCUUCCGCCUGGAUUUGCAUGGCUGGCAUUGUCUCCGUUCCUCUCAAGGGUGGUGCCCACUAGUUGCAGCGUGCUUGGCUCAAGGCUGGCGGUGCUGCGCCUUUGAUCCGGUUCCCCUUCCCAGCAAUAGCAACAUGCCCCCGGCUGUGUGCUCCCAGUUCUUUUCUUCAACGGCCGACGAGCCUUACUUCUCGGCGUUCUCUGGUCUUCCUUGAUGUUCUUGCUGGCCUUUCUUCAGUAGCUGCCCCCGGUGGCUUUCCCUUAGUUUGCUGGUGUCUUAGGUUGCGAUGGUAUGGUGGAUGUUGUGUGUUCUUUGUCUAAGGGGUUGUGCUCUCUGGCUGCUCCAUGUCUCGCGGUCGCUACCCCCUCUGCUCUAGGGUGAGCGUCUUGCAGGUCUGGUGGUUCGACGCCUUUCGUUCGAAGGCGAGAGGGAAGGGUCCCUCUGCGGCGCGAGAGGAGGAUGCUGCUUGGACUUCUUCAUCUUGGGAGUCCGCCCAGUUCAUGCCAAUUCUCUUUAUCAGGAGGUCCUCGUCCUACUCUUGCUGGUCAUUCCUUGGUACCAGUUUUGCUGUGGCCUUGGGCUAGUGUAAGCAUUGGGCUCGAUGUUUCUUUUCUUUUGUGCUUGUGCACUGCGUUGAGUUGUAAGCUUCCUAGAGUGCUCCCUUGUAUCAUGUGACCGAUUUGGUCUGUGGUGUGUCUGUAUUUUCUAGCCGGUUGAUGGCUUUGUUAAUUCAAAGCCGGGCUCUCCACGAUCCUUCGUAACGUGUCCACUCACUGAACGCACAUUCUGAGGCCUGAAAUAAAUUCAGAAAAAUGCAAGCAACAAUGUCAAGUCUGCUACUUGAAAUCUAAUUGGCAGGGGAUACCUUUGUCCUUCUAACCAUUCAAUCAUAGGUUGGUUUGGAGUGUGGCAAUUGUUAUGAGCUAUGCAUGGAUGAUAUUUGUUGGUAAGUCUCCAGCUCAAACAAAGUGCGUUUGAUCGUUGUGCUGAAUUCCUUGAUGCUGAAAUAGACUUUCAUCCGACUUUAUAGAUAAAUCAGUAAUCUUGUUCAUACAGACAGUUUAAGUGCAAACAGUGAAAAAAAUUGCUCCUCCAACGCACAAACAUGCCCUAAAUAGAAAAAAGGCCAUCAGUGGUUGGAAGAUCUUGGGUGAGUAAAGAUGGUGAACUACGCUGCCUAGACAACGGGCGUCAACGCUGCAAAAAUAUAAGGUAUUCAAGUAUAAAGUCACAAGCCCGUCGUAAAAAGACUUACUCAAUAACCAUCUUGUUACUCGUCAUUCGAAGGGUUUAAGUCAUCCUCACUAGAAGGAACAUCUCUCGGUCCGGUUGGCCCAGGAAUAGAGAAAUCCAACCAGGUUCAUGGCCUCCCCAGAACCUCACGGGAAAGGACCAAAGGAAUCGAGUCGCAGCACAAUCAAAAUCUCUGAGUUCAGUCUGCUAUCUCUCAAUCAUAAGCUAGCACACCCGAUCCAGAGUUUAUUUUAUUACAACUAGCAAAAAAACCCGUACGUUGCAACGGAAGAGAAAAUAAACACGCUUUGAACACAAUAUAUUUUCACAUGGCAUCACAUUUAUGUUGUCGACGAUGGCCUCAGUGCUCACACAACGAAAACGUGUUUAAAUGUACAAUUACUCGGAAUAAGAUGAGAAAUAUGUUAUUUCUUCCCAUGAGAUUUUCCAAAGAUGUGCAUGUGUGGUUAACGAUGUUUUCUUUCCUGUCAAUUUGAUUUUAAUUUAAUGGAUAUUUAUUGCAAUUCGUAUGGUCGCCGAAAAGAGAGGAAAAAAGGACCAUGCAUUACAGAUUAAGUUUGCACCAAAAAUAAUAUUUAAGAAGUAUUCAACAGCUAAAAAUAACAUCCUAUUUAGAUUCUACACAUUUUUUCAAUCAAAUUUCAUAUAUAACAUGUUAAAAUCGGAGUUACGGUUUAAAAGAUAUGGAUAAUUUCGUUUUAGAUAAAAUAUGGAUUGAUUAACUAAAAAGUCAGGUUUUUUUUUGUUAAAAUAAAAAAACGUUUUGGCUGACUUAAAUAGGGACGGCGGAUUGAUUACCUGAAACAUCAGGGAUUUUUCUGAAAAAUGCAAAAAACGGUUCGGCUGUGACUAAAAGAUGAACUGCGGUUGAUUAUCUAAAAUUGUGAGGACUUUUCUGCAAAAUGACCAAAAAAUGGUUCGUUUUGACUUAAAAUUGGACUGCGGGUUAAUUACCUGAAACUGCGAGGGCUUUUCUGCAAAAUGACCAACGACGGUCGACAGAAGCGCAACGCGCUUUAUUAUUAGGGAAGACUAGUACAAAUGCCCGUGCGUUGCACCGGGCUAGAAAAAAUGCAGAACCUGUUUAUUUUACCAUUAAAUAUUAAAUGUAAAUUUUAAUGUUAAAUGUAAGACAUCUAUUUUUGGACGGAAGGAGUUUCUUUUAAAGUUUUAAAAUAUAAUGUAAAGCUUACACAAAAAUUGGAUUACUUUUUUAAUAAUAAUUAUCAUUUUUAUUGAGUGGUAAUAAUGUUUUGUUUUUUGAUGGGUAAUGGCAUUUUUGUGUACAACAUAUUUUCAAAAAAUAAAUUAAACAAUAUAUAUUUUAAAUUGCUUUUUGCACAACUUGCUAAGCUCUUGCGAGUGAGCUGCUCUAAGCGUAGACACCAAGCCUCCGCAUGAGACACAAAGCGCGUCCUCCGGAGUACUUUCCUCAUCUUUUUCUAAAAUAACAUUCUCCUCAUCUUAUUCUCGAAGAAAAAAAAGUUGUCCUUAUCUCUUCACUUUGUUCCCGUCACUCCUCUCAAUUCCAAUGGUGGCCACCCCCUCCCUUUCAUUCCUUGUGGAGCUGAGCUCUCGAUGUACCUUCAAUGUAGGUCGCCCCUUGCCGUUCAUCCCCUCCGCUGGCGUGAGGCCACAUGACUUAUGAAUUUGGCAUGUUUUCUUUCGAAUGCCGGGUUCUCACAACGAUAUCAACAUGCUUCAACAAUCUCGAGUGUUCAAAAGGCUUUGCAACGGGAAAUCACCGUUAUCGUGUUACUACAUCGUCAACGGUCGAAACUACAGCAUGGGAUACUAUCUUAGCGAUGACAUCUCUCUAAUAUUCAUUGUUUUUCACAAAUUUGGCUCCGCAAUUGAGAUGUUUGAAAACAAGAUUUCACAGAAUUCUCUUCAAGUUUGAUUAAGACAACAAAUACCCUUACAAAACUUUAGAAAUAACAACACCUGAAUUGCCAAUUUAUAUUUCAUAUUGUCAUGACAAGGGGUCAUGGGUGCAUGCUGAUAUUUCAUUCUUGGAUACAGAUUGAAAGCAUAAAGGAAAGAAGAGGCAGUUAACGUGUUUUGCAUAAGGCUGGGAUAAUCAGAUUGUAAUAGUGGUGCUAACUGGCACCGCAUACAUCAAAUUGUAUUUCAGACUACUGUUCUGUCUAACAAGAAACAUGUUCGAUCAUCCUGUCGACUAAUUAUUUGAGUUGUCCCAUGCACACUAACGCUUUUCUUUUCCAGAUAAUU